GUCCACGCCCUAAACGAUGCGAACUGGAUGUUGGGCUCAACUUGGAGCUCAGUAUCGAAGCUAACGCGUUAAGUUCGCCGCCUGGGGAGUACGGUCGCAAGACUGAAACUCAAAGGAAUUGACGGGGGCCCGGCACAAGCGGUGGAGUAUGUGGUUUAAUUUCGAUGCAACGCGAAGAACCUUACCUGGUCUUGACAUCCACGGAACUUUCCAGAGAUGGAUUGGUGCCUUCGGGAACCGUGAGACAGGUGCUGCAUGGCUGUCGU
rnacentral:rRNA from 1 species